UGACUCUGUCAGGAACCUUCACCUAUAAGGGGUUUCUUCUGGAGGCCCAUGAGGAAGGACAGAACACCGCUGUGGGAACGUUCUCUCUCGGCAGUGGGACUGGGAUCGUUCUUGUGCCUUGCAAUAAGAUCGCAGUGAGUUACAGUUAGGGUUGUAAAAUUCCUGAAACUUUCCCAUUUGGGGGAUUCCCACCCUGCUCAUACCCUCCUGAAUCAUGAGAUCCUCCAACUGGGAUUUCUGGAAAACCAGGGACAUUUUGGGAGAGUUUCUGGAAUUUUGCAACCCUAGUUACCAUGCAGCACAGGACAUUCUGGCCAUAGUCUUCUGUUACCAAUUUACCUACUGACUAUUUGGAUUAUAUUGACUCAUCAAUAUGUCAAAUGAAACUGACUUGAGCCCACUAAUAGGAGAGUUUUUACUGGUCAGGCUACACAGUGAGGAAAUACUCCUGGCCCGGAUUAUAAUGAAUAAAGAUAAUGAAAUUACAGAGUUAGGGUUGCAAAAAUUCCGGUAACUUCCCAAAAUUACAAGCUUUUCCAGAAAUCCUAGUUGGUGGAUUCCAGAUUUCCUGCUUAAAACCUGGGUAUUUUGGGCAAGUUAAUGUAAUUUUUCAACCCUAAACAAGAGUUUGUUACCUUUACCUACUAUAGCUAGAACCACCAAUAACACUGAUCAGUGCCUUACCUUACAUGAUUGUGUACCAAAGUGAUUGUUCUCUAUUGAUUGACUUUACCUGUUGUUUUACUGUUAGGCCUCUGGGGUGAGUCAAAGCAACAAUCAGCCUAAAUCAUCAGUAACAGUCACCUGGACAGCACCAGCCUCAGCCUCCUUGGGCAACAUCGUAGUCAAGACAACAUUUAUGCAGACCUUCAGUGUAUUUUGGAUUGCAGUGCCAAGCAAGACAGUAAACCGAGUGUCCUCAGUUGUCACCACUACAAGAGCUCAAACAACACAAACUCUUGAUCCUACUACAAUAACUACUUCUCCUACUACAACAACUACUGCUCCUACUACAACUACUGCUCCUACUACAACAACUACUGCUCCUACUACAACAACUACUGCUCUGACAACAACUACUGCUCCUACUGCAACAACUACAGCUCCUACUACAACAACUACAGCUCCAUCUACAACAACUACUGCUCAUACUACAACAACUACUGCUCCUACUACAACAACUACUGCUCCUACUACAACAACUACAGCUCCGACUACGACAACUAUUGCUCCUACUACAACAACUACAGGUUCUAAUACAACAACUACAGCUCCUAUUACAACAACUACAGCUUCUAAUACAACAACUACAGCUCCGACAACAACCACAGCUUCUACUACAACAACUACAGCUCCAUCUACAACAACUACUGCUCCUACUACAACAACUACUGCUCCUACUACAACAACUACAGCUCCUAAUACAACAACAACUACAGCUCCAUCUACAACAACUACUGCUCCUACUACAACAACUACAACUCCUACUACAACAACUACAGCUCCAUCUACAACAACUACUGCUCCUAAUACAACAACUACUGCUCCAACUACGACAACCACUGCUCCGACAACAACCACAGCUUCUACUACAACAACUACUGCUCCUACUACAACAACUACUGCUCCUACUACGACAACUACAGCUCCAUCUACAACAACUACAGGUUCUAAUACAACAACUACAGCUCCUAUUACAACAACUACAGCUUCCAAUACAACAACUACAGCUCCGACAACAACCACAGCUUCUACUACAACAACUACAGCUCCUACUACAACGACUACAGCUGCUACUACAACAACUACAACUCCUACUACAACAACUACAGCUCCUAAUACAACAUCAACUACUGCUCCUACUACAACAACUACAGCUCCUAAUACAACAACUACAACUCCUACUACAACAACUACAACUCCUACUACAACAACUACAACUCCUAAUACAACAACAACUCCUACUACAACAACUACAGCUCCAUCUACAACAACUACUGCUCCUACUACAACAACUACUGCUCCUACUAUAACAACUACAACUUCUAAUACAACAACUACAGCUCCUAUUACAACAACUACAGCACCUACUACAACAACUACAGCUCCAUCUACAACAACUACUGCUCCUACUACAACAACUACAACUCCUACUACAACAACUACUGCUCCUACUACGACAACUACAGCUCCUACUACAACAACUACAGUUCCUACUACAACAACUACUGCUCCUACUACGACAACUACAACUCCUACUACAACAACUACAGCUCCUACUACAACAACUACAGCUCCUACUACAAGAAAUACAACUCCUACUACAACUACUACAGCUCCAUCUACAACAACCACAGCUCCUACAACAACAACUACAGCUCCAUCUACAACAACUACUGCUCCUACUACAACAACUACUGCUCCUACUACGACAACUACUGCUCCGACAACAACCACAGCUUCUACUACAACAACUACAGCUCCUACUACAACAACUACAGCUGCUACUACAACAACUACAACUCCUACUACAACAACUACUGCUCCUACUACAACAACUACAACUCCUACUAAAACAACUACUGCUCCUACUACGACAACUACAACUCCUACUACAACAACUACAGCUCCUACAACAACAACUACAACUCCUACUACAACAACUACAGCUCCAUCUACAACAACUACUGCUCCUACUACAACAACUACAGCUUCUAAUACAACAACUACAGCUCCGACAACAACCACAGCUUCUAAUACAACAACUACAGCUCCUACUACAACAACUACAGCUGCUACUACAACAACUACAACUCCUACUACAACAACUACACUUCCAUCUACAACAACUACUGCUCCUACUACAACAACUACAACUCCUACUACAACAACUACAGCUCCUACUACAACAACAACUACAGCUCCUACUACAACAACUACAGCUCCUACUACAACAACUACAGCUGCUACUACAACAACUACAACUCCUACUACAACAACUACAGCUCCAUCUACAACAACUACUGCUCCUACUACAACAACUACAACUCCUACUACAACAACUACAGCUCCUACUACAACAACAACUACAGCUCCUACUACAACAACUACAGCUCCAUCUACAACAACUACUGCUCCUACUACAACAACUACAACUCCUACUACAACAACUACAGCUCCAUCUACAACAACUACUGCUCCUACUACAACAACUACAACUCCUACUACAACAACUACAACUCCUACUACAACAACUACAACUCCUACUACAACAACUACAGCUCCUACUACAACAACUACAACUCCUACUACAACAACUACAGCUCCAUCUACAACAACUACUGCUCCUACUACAACAACUACAGCUCCUACAACAACAACUACAACUCCUACUACAACAACUACUGCUCCUACUACAACAACUACUGCUCCUACUACGACAACUACUGCUCCGACAACAACCACAGCUUCUACUACAACAACUACAGCUCCUACUACAACAACUACAGCUGCUACUACAACAACUACAACUCCUACUACAACAACUACUGCUCCUACUACAACAACUACAACUCCUACUACAACAACUACUGCUCCUACUACGACAACUACAACUCCUACUACAACAACUACAGCUCCUACAACAACAACUACAACUCCUACUACAACAACUACAGCUCCAUCUACAACAACUACUGCUCCAACUACAACAACUACAGCUUCUAAUACAACAACUACAGCUCCGACAACAACCACAGCUUCUACUACAACAACUACAGCUCCUACUACAACAACUACAGCUGCUACUACAACAACUACAACUCCUACUACAACAACUACAGCUCCAUCUACAACAACUACUGCUCCUACUACAACAACUACAACUCCUACUACAACAACUACAGCUCCUACUACAACAACAACUACAGCUCCUACUACAACAACUACAACUCCUACUACAACAACUACAGCUCCUACUACUACAACAACUACAACUCCUACUACAACAACUACAGCUCCAUCUACAACAACUACAACUCCUACUACAAUAACUACAGCUCCUACUACAACAACUACAACUCCUACUACAACAACUACAGCUCCAUCUACAACAACUACUGCUCCUACUACAACAACUACAACUCCUACUACAACAACUACAGCUCCAUCUACAACAACUACUGCUCCUCCUACAACAACUACAACUCCUACUACAACAACUACUGCUCCUACUACGACAACUACUGCUCCUACUACAACAACUACUGCUCCUACUACGACAACUACUGCUCCGACAACAACGACAGCUUCUACUACAAAAACUACAGCUCCUACAACAACUACUACAGCUCCAUCUACAACAACUACUGCUCCGACAACAACAACUGCUCCUACUACAACAACUACAGCUCCUACUACAACAACUACAACUCCUACUACAACUACUACAGCUCCAUCUACAACAACCACAGCUCCUACAACAACAACUACAACUCCUACUACAACUACUACAGCUCCAUCUACAACAACUACUGCUCCUACUGCAACAACUACUGCUCCUACUACGACAACUACUGCUCCGACAACAACCACAGCUUCUACUACAACAACUACAGCUCCUACUACAACAACUACAGCUGCUACUACAACAACUACAACUCCUACUACAACAACUACAGCUCCUAAUACAACAACAACUACAGCUCCAUCUACAACAACUACUGCUCCUACUACAACAACUACAGAUCCUAAAACAACAACUACAGCUCCUACUACAACAACUACAACAACUAAAGAUCCUAAAACAACAACUACAGAUCCUAAAACAACAACUACAGCUCCUACUACAACAACUACAACAACUAAAGAUCCUAAAACAACAACUACAGAUCCUACUAAAACAACUACAACUUCUAAUACAACAACUACAGCUUCUAAUACAACAACUACAGCUCCUAUUACAACAACUACAGCUCCUACUACAACAACUACAGCUCCAUCUACAACAACUACUGCUCCUACUACAACAACUACAACUCCUACUACAACAACUACUGCUCCUACUACGACAACUACAGCUCCUACUACAACAACUACAGUUCCUACUACAACAACUACUGCUCCUACUACGACAACUACAACUCCUACUACAACAACUACAGCUCCUAAUACAACAACUACAGAUCCUAAUACAACAACUACUGCUCCUACUACAACAACUACAACUCCUACUACAACAACUACAACUCCUACUACAACAACUACAGCUCCUACUACGACAACUACUGCUCCGACAACAACCACAGCUUCUACUACAACAACUACAGCUCCAACUACAACAACUACAGCUGCUACUACAACAACUACAACUCCUACUACAACAACUACAGCUCCAUCUACAACAACUACUGCUCCUACUACAACAACUACAACUCCUACUACAACAACUACUGCUCCUACUACGACAACUACAACUCCUACUACAAAAACUACAGCUCCUACAACAACAACUACAGCUCCAUCUACAACAACUACAGCUCCUACAACAACAACUACAACUCCUACUACAACAACUACAGCUCCAUCUACAACAACUACUGCUCCUACUACAACAACUACUGCUCCUACUACGACAACUACAACUCCUACUACAACAACUACAGCUCCUAAUACAACAACAACUACAGCUCUUACUACAACAACUACAACUCCUACUACAACAACUACAGCUCCAUCUACAACAACUACUGCUCCUACUACAACAACUACAGAUCCUAAAACAACAACUACAGCUCCUACUUCAACAACUACAAAAACUAAAGAUCAUAAAACAACAACUACAGAUCAUAAUACAACAACUACUGCUCCUACAACAACAACUCCUACUACAACAACUACAGCUCCAUCUACAACAACUACUGCUCCUACUACAACAACUACUGCUCCUACUAUAACAACUACAACUUCUAAUACAACAACUACAGCUUCUAAUACAACAACUACAGCUCCUAUUACAACAACUACAGCUCCUACUACAACAACUACAGCUCCAUCUACAACAACUACUGCUCCUACUACAACAACUACAACUCCAACUACAACAACUACUGCUCCUACUACGACAAUUACAGCUCCUACUACAACAACUACAGUUCCUACUACAACAACUACUGCUCCUACUACGACAACUACAACUCCUACUACAACAACUACAGCUCCUACUACAACAACUACAGCUCCUACUACAACAAAUACAACUCCUACUACAACAACUACUGCUCCUAAUACAACAACUACAGCUCCUAAUACAACAACUACAGCUCCUAAUACAACAACUACAACUCCAUCUACAACAACUACAGCUCCAUCUAAAACAACUACAACUCCAUCUACAACAACUACUGCUCCAUAUACAACAGCAACUGCUCCUACUACAACAACUACAGCUCCUACUACAACAACUACAGCUCCUACUACAACAACUACAGCUCCUAAAACAACAAAAACCACAGCUCUUACUACAACAACCACAGCUCCUACCACAACAACUACACCUCCUACUGCAACAACAACAGCUCCUAAUAGAACAACUACUGCUCCUAAUACAAUAACUACUUCUCCUUCAACAACAACUACAGCUCAAAAUCCAACAACUACAGCUCCUACUAUAACAACUACAGCUCCUAAUACAACAACCACAGCUCCAUAUACAACAUCUGAUGCUCCUAAUACAACAACUGCUCCUCCUACAACAAAUACCUCUAAUACUGAAAAAACUACAGCUCCUAAUAAAACAAUUACAGCUCCUACUACAACAUCUACAGCUCCUACUACAACAACUACAGCUCCUAACACAACAAUUACAGAUCCUACUCCAACAACGACAGCUCCUACUACAACAACUACAGCUCCUACUACUACAAAAACUACAGCUCAUACUACAGCAACUACUGUUACUAAUACAACAACUAUAGAUCCUACUACAACAACUACAGAUCAUACUACAACAAAUACGGCUCCUAAUACAACAACUACAGCUCCAACCACAACAACUACAGCUCCAACAACAACAACUACAGCUCCUACUAUGGCAACCACAUCUCCUAAUACAGCAACUACAGGGCCUAAUUCAAAAACUACUGCUCCUAUUAUGGCAGCUACAGCUCCUAUUACAACAACUACAGCUCAUACUACAACAACUACAGCUCCAACUACAACAACUACAGCUCCUACUACAACAACAGCAGCUCCUAAUAUAACAUCUACUGCUCCUACAUCAUCAACUACAGCUCCUAAUACAAUAACUACAGCUACUCAAACAACAACUGCAGCUCAUACUCAAACAAAUAAAGCUUUUAAUACAACAACGACAGCUCCAAAUUCAACAACUACAGCUCCUAAUACAACAACUACAACUCCAACUACAACUCCAGCUCCUAAUACAACAACUACAGCUUCUACUACAACAACUACAACUCCUACAACAACAACCACAGCUCCUAAUACAACAACUACAGCUCCUGAUACAACAACUACAGCUCCUAAUACAACAGCUACAGCUCCAACUACAACAACUACAGCUCCUAAUACAACAACUACAGCUCCUAAUACAACAACUACAGCUCCUAAUACAACAACUACAGCUCCUACAGCAACAAACACAGCUCCUAAUACAACAACUACAGCUUCUAAUUCAACAACUACAGAUCCAAAUAAAAUAACCACAGCUCCUUCCUCAAGCUGUGGAAAACCUCUUUUACACGGCCUGUUGAUGACAUUGGUCUGCUGGAACCUCUUCAACCUUCUGCCUUAAACCUGCUGAACCACCCAAGGAGGACUUUACAGCCAAGUUCAACAUUUUAUUUAUUUGGCCAUUUUUGUUCAAUAACACUGUAUUUUGUUAUAUACUGUAGUCGUGAAUAUUUAUUCAUACACUGCGUGCACAAUUAUUAGGCAAAUUGUAUUCUUCGGCAUUCAUUUUUUUGUUGAACAAACACAAUGCUCUCAUUCAAUCCAAAAUGUUAUUGAACCUCAAACCUGAAUGUUUAACAAAGGAAAAGUGAGUUUUGUCUUUCUCAGGGAAAUAUAUAAGUGUGCACAAUUAUUAGGCAGCUAUUAGUGUGCACAAUUAUUAGGCAACUAAAUUACAAAAAUAAUUUCUCUCAACUCACUUGUUUAUUCUCAAUUUUUAGAGUAAGUGUAACAGAUAAGUAACACAAAAGGACAAUUAUAUAACAUUUUUGGCCUUUCAAAAAUAUGCAGUGACCAAAAUAGCCACCCUUAUUUUCAAUAACUGCCAUGAGCCUUCCAUCCAUGGAGUCUGUCAGUUUCUUGAUCUGUUCACAAUCAAUUUUCGCUGAAGCAGCAACCACAGCCUUCCAAAUGCUGUUCAAAGAGGUGUAUUGUCUUCCAUCACUGUAAAUCUCGCGUUUGAGAAGGGCCCACAAGUUCUCAAUAGGAUUUAAGUGGUUCUCCCCAGACCUGACUGCCCUUAACCAACACAAAAAUAUCCUGUGGCGUUCUGCAUUAGCAUCGAACUGCCCCCGCGAUAUGCAACUUUUUAGGGAAGUUAGAAACCAAUACACGCAGGCAGUUAGAAACGCCAAGGCUAGCUUUUUCAAACAAAAAUUUGCUUCGUGCAACUCCAACUCUAAAAAGUUCUGGGACAUUGUAAAGUCCAUGGAGAAUAAGAACACCUCCUCCCAACUGCCCACUGCACUGAGGAUAGGAAACUCUGUCACCACCGAUAAGCCCACUAUAAUUGAGAAUUUCAAUAAGCAUUUUUCUACGGCUUGCCAUGCUUUCCACCUAACUACCCCUACUGCAUUCAACAGCACUGCACCCCCCACAGCUACUCGCCCAAACCUCCCCCAUUUCUCCUUCUCCCAAAUCCAUUCAGCUGAUGUUCUGAAAGAGCUGCAAAAUCUGGACCCCUACAAAUCAGCUGGGCUUGACAAUCUGGACCCUUUCUUUCUAAAAUUAUCUGCCGAAAUUAUUGCAACCCCUAUUACUAGCCUGUUCAACCUCUCUUUCGUGUCGUCUGAGAUUCCCAUAGAUUGGAAAGCAGCUGCUGUCAUCCCCCUCUUCAAAGGAGGUGACACUCUUGACCCAAAUUGCUACAGACCUAUAUCCAUCCUACCCUGCCUUUCUAAGGUCUUCGAAAGCCAAGUCAACAAACAGAUUACCGACUAUUUCGAAUCCCACCGCACCCUCUCCGCUAUGCAAUCUGGUUUCAGAGCUGGUCAUGGGUGCACCUCAGCCAUGCUCAAGGUCCUAAACGACAUCGUAACCGCCAUCGAUAAGAAACAAUACUGUGCUGCCGUAUUCAUUGACCUGGCCAAAGCUUUCGACUCUGUUAAUCACCACAUCCUCAUCGGCAGACUUAGUAGCCUUGGUUUCUCAAACGAUUGCGUCGCCUGGUUCACCAACUACUUCUCUGACAGAAUUCAGUGUGUCAAAUCGGAGGGCCUACUGUCUGGACCUCUGGCAGUCUCUAUGGGGGUACCACAGGGUUCAAUUCUUGGGCCAACUCUUUUCUCUGUAUACAUAAAUGAUGUCGCUCUUGCUGCUGGUGAAUCUCUGAUCCACCUCUACGCAGACGACACCAUUCUGUAUACUUCUGGCCCUUCUUUGGACACUGUGUUAACAACCCUCCAGACGAGCUUCAAUGCCAUUCAACUCUCCUUCCGUGGCCUCCAACUGCUCCUAAACACAAGUAAAACUAAAUGCAUGCUCUUCAACCGAUCGCUGCCUGCACCUGCCUGCCCAUCCAGCAUAACUUCUCUGGACGGUUCUAACUUAGAAUUUGUGGACAACUACAAAUACCUAGGUGUCUGGUUAGACUGUAAACUCUCCUUCCAGACUCACAUCAAUCAUCUCCAAUCCAAAGUGAAAUCUAGAAUUGGCUUCCUAUUUCGCAACAAAGCAUCCUUCACUCAUGCUGCCAAACAUACCCUCGUAAAACUGACCAUCCUACCAAUCCUCGACUUCGGCGAUGUCAUUUACAAAAUAGCCUCCAAUACCCUACUCAACAAGCUGGAUGCAGUCUAUCACAGUGCCAUCCGUUUUGUCACCAAAGCCCCAUAUACAACCCACCACUGCGAUCUGUAUGCUCACGUUGGCUGGCCUUCACUUCAUAAUCGUCGCCAAACACAUUGGCUCCAGGUCAUCUACAAGACCCUGCUAGGUAAAGUCCCCCCUUAUCUCCGCUCACUGGUCACCAGAGCAGCACCCACCUGUAGCACGCGCUCCAGCAGGUAUAUCUCUCUGGUCACCCCUAAAGCCAACUCCUCCUUUGGUCGUCUCUCCUUCCAGUUCUCUGCUGCCAACGACUGGAACGAACUACAAAAAUCUCUGAAAUUGGAAACACUUAUCUCCCUCACUAGCUUUAAGCACCAGCUGUCAGAGCAGCUCACAGAUCACUGCACCUGUACAUAGCCCAUCUAUAAUUUAGCCCAAACUACUACCUCUUCCCCUACUGUAUUUAUUUAUUUUAUUUAUUUUGCUCAUUUGCACCAUAUUAUUUAUAUUUGAACUUUCUUCAAACUACAAAUCUACCAUUCCAGUGUUUUUCUUGCUAUACUUUAUUUACUUUGCCACCAUGGCAUUUUUUUGCUUUUACCUCCCUUAUCUCACAUCAUUUGCUCACAUUGUAUAUAGUCUUAUUUUUUUUCUACUGUAUUAUUGACUGUAUGUUGUUUACUCCAUGUGUAACUCUGUGUUGUUGUAUGUUGUCGAACUGCUUUGCUUUAUCUUGGCCAGGUCGCAAUUGUAAAUGAGAACUUGUUCUCAACUUGCCUACCUGGUUAAAUAAAGGUGAAAUAAAUAAAUAAAUAAAAAAUAAAUAAAAUAAAAAGUCAGGUGAGGAAGGGGGCCAGGUCAUUAUUCAGGCAUCUUUAAGGCCCUUGCUGGCUAGCCAAGCAGUGGAGUACUUGGAUGCAUGUGAUGGAGCAUUGUCCUGCAUAAUGAUCAUGGAAUGAUCAUCAUCUAGAAUGCUGAGGACUUCUUCCUGUGCCACUGUUUGACGAAAGAAUCUUCCAGAAACUGGCAGUAUGUUUGGGAGUCAAGAAUCUUCUUGACCUUGGCCAUGUCUCUGAGCACUUGACACCUUGUACUUCUGAACACUCCAGGUAGGUUGCAGUUCUGGAAUACAGUGACACUGGAGGAUAAUGGGUUCCUGGUAGUUUGACGUUUAAUUCUUCUCAAGUCUUUUGCAGUUAAUUUGCACCGUUUCUUCCCCAUGUGUUUUUUUUAGUUUAGCUGAAAGACAUUUUACAUUUUUGGUUUUUCAGUGUCAGUUAAAUUUAUUUUUUGGCCCAUUUUACCUGAGGUAAUGAGGCUGCCUAAUAAUUAUGCACACCUUGAUAUAAGGUGUUAUUCACUUUCACCACACCCUCCCUCAUUACACAAAUACAUAUCACCUGAAAAUUAUUAAAUCCAAUAAGCAUUCAAGUUUAUAUGGUUUGGAGUUCGAAAAUGUGAAUAGAAACAAUGAUAAGAUCAGAAUACUCACUUGCCUAAUAAUUGUGCACACAGUGUAUAUAUAUGUGUGUAUCUUUUCUCCUGUGAAUAAUGUUUUGUUUAUUUAAAUGUUUUUAUUAUUUGUUGAAAUGUACAUAACAUAGAAUAUAGAACUAUUCCAAAAUACCAAUCCAAUCCCAGUAUAUACAUAUCAAUUUCACGCCCUGACCAUAGAGAGCCUUUUUAUUCUCUAUUUUGGUUAGCUCGGGGUGUGACUAGGGUGGGUAAUCUAGGUUGUUUAUUUCUAUGUUGGUCUGGUAUGGUUCCCAAUCAGAGGCAUCUGUUUUUCGUUGUCUCUGAUUGGGGAUCAAAUUUAGGCAGCCAUUUCCCCACUGUGUUUUGUGGGAUCUUGUUUGUUUAUGUGUAGUUGCCUGUGAGCACUUAAUUUACUUCACGUUUCGUUCGUUCUUCAUUGUUUUUGUGCAUUUCAUUUAAUAAACAUGUGGAACCCAUAUCACGCUGCGCUUUGGUCUGAAUGUUCUUACGACGAUUGUGACAGAAGAUCCCACCAAACCAGGACCAAGCAGUGUGCCCAGGAGGAGAAGGUAUCCU
ensembl:lncRNA